rnacentral:pre_miRNA from 1 species
AGGAGGAAUAGCCCCAGUGGCGGGGCCAGCUCUGGAUCCCUGGAUUCAGUUCCGGCAGGAACUCCGUCUGCAGGGCCUGGAGGCUCCGGGGCGGG